rnacentral:rRNA from 1 species
CCUACGGGAGGCAGCAGUGGGGAAUAUUGGGCAAUGGGCGAAAGCCUGACCCAGCAAUGCCGCGUGAAUGAAGAAGGUCUUAGGAUUGUAAAAUUCUGUCCUAUGGGAAGAAAAAAAUGACGGUACCAUAGGAGGAAGCCCCGGCUAACUACGUGCCAGCAGCCGCGGUAAUACGUAGGGGGCGAGCGUUGUCCGGAAUUACUGGGCGUAAAGAGAGCGUAGGCGGCAGUGCAAGUCUGGAGUGAAAGGCGGGGGCUCAACCCCCGGACUGCUCUGGAAACUGUACGGCUGGAGUGCAGGAGAGGUAAGUGGAAUUCCUAGUGUAGCGGUGAAAUGCGUAGAUAUUAGGAGGAACACCAGUGGCGAAGGCGGCUUACUGGACUGUAACUGACGUUGAGGCUCGAAAGUGUGGGUAUCAAACAGGAUUAGAUACCCGAGUAGUC